GUUGAUAGCAAGGAAUAAAAUGAACUACCAAACAAUGGGUAUUAUACUCACCUAUAUGUAAUUUCGGGGGCUGGAUCAACCAAACAACAAAAAAUACAAGUCUCAGAAGAGUUAGAAAACAUGUCUGUCUGUCUAUCUAUCUCUCGAUCAAUCUAUCAAUCUACUCAAAUAUCUAUCAAACUAUCUAUUUAUCUACUCAAAUAUCUAUCCAUAUAUCUAUCUAGAUUAGCAAAAUAAAAUAAACUAAUUAAAGAAUCUCUACCAGAACUUUGUAAAUUGCCUAACUUACUAUCUAUCCGUUUUGUCCAUCUUCCCAUAAU